rnacentral:lncRNA from 1 species
AAAAGAGGUUCCUAUAAUUUCCCUAGGAUAAUGAAACAGCACAUACAGGAGGGGUCUCACAGAAGGUUGUGUGGUUGUGGUGGUCUGCCUCAGGCCAACAAAGCCCGAAAAAGCUGUAACUUCAUGAGUCUGUUAGCAAGGGUCCUGACCUCGCCUAUUUACUGCACUUAGCAGGUAUUAAGAUCUGCUUCAAACCUAGCAAACUGGAAAAAAAAAAAAAAAAAAAAAAAAAAAAAAAAAAAAAAGGAGGAAUCGGGGUGAAAAAUUCAGGUGUCCAUACAUGCAUUAGAGGAAAUCGGUUGUUAUCCACAAAACAAAUCUGGUGAUAACAUUUAUUCUUCUCUUCAUGUUUCUUUGCUUUUUUUACUGCCACCCCUGAAGCGCAGCAAGGCCAUGAUGGCAGCACAACGCGCCAUCUUUGCCUUUCUUUAUGGAUGGGCUGCAGCGGGUGCUGCAGCGAGCUGGGCGCUGUGGGGCAGGGGGCAGCCCGGCUCCCUCAGCAAGAGCUGCCCAGGGACAGUACGGAGAGCAGGACCCUCUGCAAGGAGGGUGGCAGCCCAAGCAGAUAUCUUCUGAAAUUCAAAGCAGUGAUUUAUUAGCCAAGAAGGAAUGUAUUACCUUUGAUACAUCUGGAAGCACAAGCAUAAGAACAGCAAAUGUGGCAGAAAAACGUGGGAAGACAACUGUAAGCUUGCCUGCAACUUUGGCAAAACAAAGUCUUCCUGGGAAGAGAAGAGAGACUCUGCAAAGACUGUUGAUCUACAAAGUAUUCCUGAGAAUUCGUAGAAGUGAGUGUAGACAGAAAUAGAUUUUUUUUGGUAAAGCUUACCUAUACAAAGCUAAAUCAGAUGCCGGAUGUGAUUUCAGUUUUCAUUGCUAUAUGGAUUAAGUUUCAGUUGACUUUCAGAGAUCACCUUUGCAUUUUGUUCUACAGAGUUACAAUCUUAGAAGUAAUGCAGUUAGGAUAAUCCCACCUCUGUGGCUGUAGAAGCUGGAGCCCAUCUGGGGGUUCUGCCUAGCAGCCUGUGGUGUUAAAGGAAAAGCAGCAGCUGUUCUCAGCUGUUCAUACCAGGCAGAAGUUCAGGAGGAGACAGGGCCCCGGCUUCGUUUUGCAUGAUCAGAGCCAUAUCUUAGGUUUCAAACAUGAGGUGACAGGUGCUGGGAGAGGCUUAUGCUUCUGCACUGGCUCCAGCACUUGAGCAGCUGUUUCCAGUCUCCUUGUGUGAUGGGGCAGCAGACCAGCCCUGGACCACCAGUUGGCCUGCUAAGUGAAACGCUUGCAGUGCAUGACGCAGUGUGACAACUUUUUCAGUUGUUAGCUUCUGAUUUACCUGCAGACUUAGAAAUCUGGACUUGUGUUGGUGUCCUGUUGGUUAACCUUCUCUAAAGGCUGGUGUUUGCACUCUCACUGACAGCAGUGUUGUUGAUACCAAUUCUUUUAUAUCUCAGCACUACAGAAGAUGCUUUGUCUUCAAUGUGAUGUCUAUAGUUACCUGAUUGUUUUCUCUGCUCAGAUGAAACAUCUUUUUUGUUGGUAGUGUUUAAGGAAGAGCUAAAGGAAGGUAAGUAGUUUUUAUCUGUAACUGCCAAGUAGACAAGUACUGCAGCUUCUUCCACUGAAUUAGCUAGAUCUAAAAUGGGAUAUAUCUGAAACCUUUUUUUUUUUCUUUUUUUUCCCCACUUCUGUUGUGAAGUUUGUCCUUAUAAUUAGAUAUAUACUCUAUUUUUCUUCAAAAUGGGAAUUAAGUGAAUGAACGGAGUUCUCUUGAAUUCUGUUAUCAGUGGUGGACCUAAUUCAGAGAUGGUGU